rnacentral:misc_RNA from 1 species
AAGCUAUGCGCUUUUACCUUCUAAAAACAUACAUAUGUCUUAUCACCAUUGAUUUAUAUUAACCAUAUAUAUAUAUGCUAUAGUACAUUAUAUUAAGACGGGCUAUUUAUUAAUUUAUUGCUCUUAUGUCAUCCCUUAUCUUUUAAGAUAUACACAGCCACCCUCGGCGAGAGUCUCCCAAUACUGGUUGGUCGUGCAGAUCAUGCUUGAUGGUCAAGAACUAUUAUUGUGGGGGUAGCUAUAGUGAACUAUUCCUGGCAUUUGGUUCCUAUUUCAGGGUCAUAAUUAGUAUAUAUUCCCCCCCCCCCUUUUGACGCUGGCAUAAGUUAAUGGUGGAGUCUCGUUAGCCCUUUACCCAGCAUGCCGGGCGCUCCUUCUAGAGGGCAUGGGUGUAACUCUCUUUUUUUAUUUCUUUUCAUCUGGCUUCUCAGAGUGCAUACAGAAUUGUCCGCCAAGGUGGUACACCUAGCCCUGUAUAUAAAUAUAGCUUUGUAUGUUAGAAGACAUUCCUGACUACAUAGCAUAACUGAUAUCACGGGCAUAUCUCUCAUGUUCGUUCCCCUGACGUUUCCGUGGUUUGCGCCCCCCCUUUAAAGUAGACCCCCCUACCCCCCUUAACUCCAGACAUGUCUGUCAAAAUUGAUAAAACACAUUUCACGGAAAAUAGAGGGGAAACUUUUUAUUAACAAAAAAUUCUUGUUUUUGUAACAUUACAAACUUAAACCAUCUUAAAACGCCCCUUUUACACGGACAAGCCUCGACCUAAAACUACAUCUUUUGACUUACACCCCUUACAUCCCUAUGGGUAAAAAUAAACCUCUUUAAUAUUUUCAUUUUAUGUAAUAGUGCAACCCCCCCCCCGUAUGCUACUUUCACAAGAACUUAGG